AAAAAUCUUAAACAAUUACUAAGACAAAAUCCAAUUUGAUUACGUGCUAAUUUCUUGGUGGCAUCCAAUAAUACCAUUCCUCCCCACUGACCACUGUAUAAGACCUUCCAGAUAUUUCUUCUCCUCUCUCUCUCUCUUUCUCUUCAGUCACCGUCAUUCGUCUCUCACCCCUUCUCUCUCUCUCUUCUCUCUCUCCAUUGCUUUCUCUUUCGUUUUCUUUCUGAUUCGUCCUUCCGCACUCUGUAUUGUGCGGAUUCGUCGUCGAAUCGCGUCCUUCAUCGCAGCGUUAUAAUGAUUAUUUUGAU
rnacentral:lncRNA from 1 species